GACAGAGGUGCCAAGCGUUAGGCGGAAUCACUGGGCUUAAAGCGUGUGUAGGCGGAUUUGUAAGUACCUUGUGAAAUCCCACGGCUCAACCGUGGAACUGCUCGGUAUACUGCUUAUCUUGAGCCACUUAGGGGCUACCGGAACAAAUGGUGGAGCGGUGAAAUGCGUAGAUAUCAUUUGGAACGCCAAUGGUGAAAACAGGUAGCUGGGAGUGUGCUGACGCUGAGGACGAAAGCCAGGGGAGCGAACGGGG
rnacentral:rRNA from 1 species